rnacentral:rRNA from 1 species
CCCUUAGAUGUUCUGGGCUGCACGCGCGCUACACCGAUGCAUUCAACGAGUCUAAAACCUGCUCUGAUAGGGGUGGGUAAUCUUUUGAAUGUGCAUCGUGAUUGGGAUAGAUGAUUGCAAUUUUUCAUCUUCAACGAGGAAUGCCUAGUAAACGCAAGUCAUCAGCUUGCAUUGAUUACGUCCCUGCCCUUUGUACACACCGCCCGUCGCUCCUACCGAUUGAAUGAUCCGAUGAAUAUCAUGGAUUGAGGAUGCAAGCAGGUUCGCCUGUCUUCAUCUUCGAGAAGUGAAGUAAAUCUUAUCAUUUAGAGGAAGGAGAAGUCGUAACA